GAUGGUUCUUAGUGUCGACUUAGGCAGUACUAGUACUUAAAGUAAAUUACUGCACUGUCACUAUGUUUAAAUCUAGUCAUUAUAAAAUCACCAAAGUCUAAGCACAAUACAAAACAAGAACAGACAGACAGACCCGGUUUUUAUGACUAUGAGACUUACGAUUUUUGCUUUAUCCUACAUAUCGGUCUGCUAAUGAUGUUGUC
rnacentral:lncRNA from 1 species